rnacentral:lncRNA from 1 species
CUAGCAUUAUUUUCCCAUUGACUUCUUGUUCCAAUGAUCGCAUAAUUUCCGUUUUUGCUGUUGUUAUACGUAUCAAUUUAUGAAACAUUUUCGCAUCUUUCGUCCGUGUUUCGAGGAUAUUUUCCUUCUACUUGUUUUUUAGUUAAGCCAGCUCAAUUCGUAAUGCAAGUAUACAGUCAUUUUUAGAUAACUAUUUCUUGUUAUUUUUGUUAUUUUGUUAUUAUUGUGUCUCCCAUAAUUUCCCCAUACUUCAUAUAAUUUCCUUGCUGAUUUUAGUGGUAAUUAAAUUUCUU